GACGAACGCUGGCGGCGUGCUUAACACAUGCAAGUCGAACGGAAAGGCCCUGCUUGCCGGGUACUCGAGUGGCGAACGGGUGAGUAACACGUGGGUGUUCUGCCCUGCACUUCGGGAUAAGCCUGGGAAACUGGGUCUAAUACCCGAUAGGAGCCAUCUUUAGUGUGGUGGUUGGAAAGUUUUUUCGGUGUAGGAUGAGCUCGCGGCCUAUCAGCUUGUUGGUGGGGUAAUGGCCUACCAAGGCGGCGAGGGGUAGCCGGCCUGAGAGGGUGUACGGCCACACUGGGACUGUGAGACGGGCCAGAGUCCUACAGGAGGGAGAAGUGGGGAAUAUUGCACAAUGGGCGCAAGCCUGAGGCAGCGACGCCGCGUGGGGGAUGAAGGCGUUCGGGUGGUAAACUCCUCUCUCUAGGGACGAAGCGUUUUUGUGACGGUACCUAGAGAAGAAGCACCGGCUAACUACGUG
rnacentral:rRNA from 1 species